rnacentral:rRNA from 1 species
GAUGAACGCUGGCGGCGUGCUUAACACAUGCAAGUCGAACGAAGCACUUUUAUUUGAUUUCUUCGGAAUGAAGAUUUUAGUGACUGAGUGGCGGACGGGUGAGUAACGCGUGGGUAACCUGCCUCAUACAGGGGGAUAACAGUUGGAAAUGACUGCUAAUACCGCAUAAGACCACAGUACCGCAUGGUGCAGGGGUAAAAACUCCGGUGGUAUGAGAUGGACCCGCGUCUGAUUAGGUAGUUGGUGGGGUAACGGCCUACCAAGGCGACGAUCAGUAGCCGGCCUGAGAGGGUGAACGGCCACAUUGGGACUGAGACACGGCCCAA